ensembl:lncRNA
ACUGUCAGGUAGAAGAAACCUCUUGUGCAUUUGGUGCCGUAUUAAAGGAUGCCUGCUUCUAAUACCACACUGGUCUUAUGGAAUUUUAUUUGAGCUGGGGCUUUUCCAGCAAUAGUGUUGUUGACCAUGAUGGGACAUAGCUUCUGAACCUUGAUGGAUCCCAGGAGCACAGAAACUCCAGCCAGCACCAAUGGAUUUUCAGGGAAAACCUCUGAUUUCUGGACUGAAGAGACUGAAGUAAGACCUCUGGGAAGGAUCCUCAGUACAUUUACACCGGGUUCCCAAAACAAGGACUCUCCUCAUAAAAAGCCACUGAAAGCCACAACUCAAACUUUGCAUGGCAUGAUCCCCACUCCUCAUCCCAUUGCAUGAGAAAACAAAACACCAAAACAGUCAAGAUGCUGCAGAAAGGCAUUUGUGUUUCUGUCAGAAUCCAUCUAAAAGUUAUUUAUGCAUACAUAUGCAUGGACACAUGCACACAGGUUUUAUGUAUCUCUUGGCCUUUCUGCUUCCUGGGUGCAAAUCAGUGUGUGUGAGAACAAUGUGCCAUUUUGAGAACAAUGUUUUAUGUAACCCAGAUUAAACCGUAACUGGCCUGCUUCACUAUUCAGUAUGUGCAGCCCUUUCAGCAGGAUCUGAUAAAGAUCAGUUUUGCUGAAACUUGUUUUCAUAGUACUUACAAAACCAGCUUCCCUGUCACUGGCACUUGGAGCAAAAUGAAAUCACAGAACAAACUCUGCAAAUCCAAUUGAAUUCGAGAAUGAAGUAUAGAAGAAGUCUGGGCAUGCUUAGUAAUUUCUAUAUGUGCUAUAUAUAUAUGUAUAUGUAUAUAUAAAGAGCUAAAAGGAGGUUGGAAGGAUUCAUGGUAGAAUGUCAAUCACUCAUUUUGCUUUACUUGCACUGUAAUGCCAGCCCACCUUGCUGGUUUGUUGGUAAACUACUCUGCCCCUUCCCUUCAGCUAUGCAUAGCUGUCCACUAGUGACGAGUGCCUGGAGCAGGAUGGAAGUGUGACUGAUCAUCCUUACUCAGCUCCAUGUUGGUAUAACUGCCUCUUACCACCACGAAAGUCUGGCUCUCCAAUCUACAGCUGGGGCACUGGUGUGGGAGGAAAAAGAAAGACUUUAGAAUCUUCAUUUAAAUUGUGGAGAAACAUCAGCCUUUAGUGCUGUUAGAUCAUCACACUAGAACACACACUUCACUCAUACACUGAUGGGAAAAAUUGAAUUUCUAUAAUAGCUGAAGUGCUAUAUUUGUAAUCAAGCCUCAAAGAUAGCAUCUUUUGAAAACAGGCUGCCAUUUCUGCAAGGAAUAGCUUACUGGCCAAAAGAGUUCAUAUAUGUAUCACCUGAGUCUUCUGGAAGUUCCUGAGAGUUUCUAUCAACAACAGGCACUACUGUUGUCCUUAAAACCCACAUGCCUAAAAUGAAGCACACCUAUAGCAAAUAAGCCUUACUAUAGCUGCAUAUUUUAAUAUCACUCUGUUUAACUUUAGAAGCAAGUCAUAAAAGCCUUGAGCUGAUUACAAGUCUGACCUUCAAGACAAGUAUUUAGGAUAUACUACUACAUGCAGGAGCUCAAACUUGCAUAUUUUUGAUCCCUGAGAUCCACAAACUCUUGAGACUUGUUAUCAAAGUAGGAUGUGGCAUCUGAGUGCACAGACUCUGUUAAUAAAUAAUAGAAGAAUUUGCCAUCACAUAAGUGGAAUAUUUUGAAGCUAAAGCUAGAAAUGAUUUUUUUUUUCAGAUAAAUUAAUUAAAGUUUUUUUUACUUUGCAUGGCACCAUAUUUAGCCUUCUAUACUCCUCAGGACUGUCAGAAGACUUGAUUGUUGGAUGUGCAGACCAAUUGUGCUUAAACAGAGUUUUCAGGAGGAGUGCAAAAUUCUGUGAAAUUGCACAGCACAAGUCAAUAAACUGUAACUUUUUUU